GAGCUUCCUUCAGCAGCACAUAUGCUCAAUUUGGAACAAUACAGAAACUAACAUGGGUCUUGCACAAGGAUGACUCACAAAUUCACAAAGCAGUCAAUAUAUUC